rnacentral:rRNA from 1 species
AGAUUGAACGCUGGCGGCAUGCCUUACACAUGCAAGUCGAACGGUAGAGUAGCAAUACUUGAGAGUGGCGAACGGGUGAGUAAUAUAUCGGAACGUGCCCAGUCGUGGGGGAUAACGUAGAGAAAUUUACGCUAAUACCGCAUACGAUCUAAGGAUGAAAGCGGGGGACCGUAAGGCCUCGCGCGAUUGGAGCGGCUGAUAUCAGAUUAGGUUGUUGGUGAGGUAAAAGCUCACCAAGCCGACGAUCUGUAGCUGGUUUGAGAGAACGACCAGCCACACUGGGACUGAGACACGGCCCAGACUCCUACGGGAGGCAGCAGGUCGGGGAAUUUUGGACAAGUGGGCGAAAGCCUGAUCCAGCAAUGCCGCGUGCAGGAAGAAGGCCUUGGGUUGUAACUGCUUUGUAACGGAACGAAGUCUGUCUUAAUACAGUGGCUAAGUGACGAACGUAAGAAUAAGCACCGCUAAC